CAUUGAGUUUCUUCAACAAGCCGUCGGCAACCAGGUUCCAUAGCACAGGUGACAGAACGCCACCCUGAGGACAGCCGCAAAUACUCAAUUUCCUUAUCUCUGCCUGUCUCAGUAGCGCGAGCUUAUCAUUUACUAGUAAACAAGGACAACAAAAAGAUAAAUAAGGCAUAUGAAUUAACGCUAACAUGAAAAAACACCGCGAAAGUUAGAGGAAUUCAAAGUACGGUCACUGAAGAGGAACUCCGACCGCCACUCACCCCAGUUGGUCUGGGUUCAAUCCCAGCCGAGGUCGUUAAGAUUUUUCUGAAGUGAAAAAAAUCUGUGGUCACGCCUUCCUUCGGAAGGGAAGUAAAGCCGUUGGUUUCCGGUCCUUUAGUUAAUGGAUCCAUAUCUAGUCCAGAUAGUGGGAGUCACCUCUCUUGGCGUCGGUGUUCGGGCUUGUAGCGGCAAUAGGCCGACGGAAAAUAACUAGAACUAGAAGAAGAAGAGGAACUCCGAGGCUAGAUAGAGAACCUGCGAACGACCACCUCCGCCUCGAUUCUGAAAAUGGUCUGUCACACGCGGCACAAACCCUGCAACAUAAACGCCCUCAGAGUAGUACUAGCAUACUGCCUAUCCUGGACAGUUCCAAGGAACAAUCGGGUCAUCAGCUCCCAAGAUACUUUGAAAGCAACAUCGAUCUCAUUUCAGUAAACGGGCUAGAAAUCAUCAGCCGAACAAUACACAGUAAUUUAAAAUAAAACAACCGAUGAGGCCUGCCUACAAAGUGAAUGUUGUUUGUGCAGUUCGAAGAUGUUUACAGUCACAUUGAAUUUAGUAAAAAAAUUUGCGAAGUGAAAGUUAUAUCGGUUAGGUUUGAGGUAAUUUUAUUCACAGUACAAACUAGUAUUCAAAUUGCAAUCAUAAUUUAUUAUCAGACAUGCACGUCUCUUACGUAUGUUUAUCCGGUGCGAGGAUGUGUCGUCUUGAACACGCGUAUCGUAUGGUAAAAUGUAUGUAACCUAAGAAUACUACUAUUAUGAUCUGCGUCGGAAUCUAUCAUCGUCGUCAGCUCAUGCACAAGUAAUUUUGGCAAGAUGUACAACGUAAGCAACGUAAUGAGUCUUAGACAUACUAUUUCGAGACACUUUGUUGUGAAUAUUGUUUUUGAAACUUAUUGUUCUCGUUAUAUAGAAGUUUCCGAACAAUCAGGAUUCUAAUUAAAUUAUUUAUCUUUUUGUUUUGCUGGUCAGAAUGGCGACGGCUCACUAGAACAAGUGAAACCGCAGUGCGAUGAGCUCGAAUUGGACAAUGAAACCGAAAAUUAGAAUGAACAGAACAAGGUUAUGCCCAAGAUCAAUAUAAUACGGUAUAGAAUCAACUCUAUUCUCGCCCCAUCAAUUGGGCUACAGAUAUUCGACGAUGCGAUCAUUUUACUUGACGCAGGCGUAAGCCAUGCACCGAUCGGUGAUAUGAAACGUUUCGAUUGUAAAUCUUGGUCGUUUAACGUAAAAUGGUAUGGAAUUGAUUCGAUCCCCUUACCAUCUACUAUACUAAAAGUAUGUGCUUGAACCGCUACGAGUUGAAUAAGACCUAUUGCCGAUUCGAAAGAUCACGUUGAAUCAGGUGCGAUGCUUUGCGCAACAAAACAUUACGCCAAGUUCCGUAAAAUGGAUAAUGCCAAAAAAAACAAAGUUUAUCCCUGCCGUUAUUAGCGAGAUUAACAGAAAAUUUACCAGAAAGCAACAUUCAUCACAGAUCCAGUGUAAAUCGGAUCGAGUGACUAUUAAUACGUCGCAGUAUGGAUCGUAUAGAUUCGUCAAUUAAUGCGAAUCCGCACCCGCAAGGCAAGUAUACAUUGAUUGGCAUCGAUAUUUAUACGAUUGGUCUCAGUUUACACACCGGUGCAGCAGUACUCGCUGUAUAUUAUACCACUGGUGAAACUGAAUUCGCUUGCGCCACCACUGUCGGUUGUUUCCGAAUGCUGAAAAUCCUAUUAUAGGGAGGUAUCGGCUCUAAACGGAAUCACGAGGAGCACAAAUUCGUAUCUGUUAGAAAUCAACUCUAUCCUCGUCUCACCACCUAAGCCAAGUAAUCGACGCAUCAGUCAUUUUACUAGACGCAAAUGUAGAUUGCAAAUCUGUCGAAUCGGUGGAUGCCUUUUCUACGCGGUAUGUUGGUACGGUCUGGGUGCAACAUCAUUGGUAGUCAGUGGGGGUUUAGUGGAUACGUAAGAAAACCCCCAUUUCACAAUCAAUUUGACUCUCGUGUCACAACUGAAACAAAGUUAUUCGACAAUCCGGUUAUUGGACUUGACACCGAAUGUAAGCCAUUCACUGGUCGACGACAGGAAGUCUCCAUUGCAUACUCGACCAAAUAACGUAAAACUGUAUGUAGUGAACUCGAUCCCCGUACCAUCAAACAGACCAAAGGUAUUUGACGAUCCAGUAGUUCGUUACUGUUAUCGUUGCAAAGAAGCGUGUACAUGCAACGCAGGCAAGAGUCGUAUAACAUUUCAAACAGCACGAUGGUGGACGUUGUUGGUAUUAUGCAGCGGACCAAGUUCGACUUCCGUAUAUGUACCAGCAACCAUCUUCCAGUGAAACGAUAAGCACGGUCGGACGAGAUCCAUUGCCGGUUCGGAAGGUCACGCUUAAUCUAAUCCUGUGCUUUCUGCAGCAAAAAUUACAGCAAAGGACAGUUCCGUAAAAUGGAGAAGAAAAAACAAAUCCCUGCAGCAGAAUUGACAAAGUUUACCAGAAAGCAACAAUUACCACAAAAUAUUGAUGCGUCGCAGUAUCAAUUGACCAGAUUCGCCAAUUCAUACGAAUCCGCUUCCGUAUGGCAAAUAUACAAUGACUUACAUCGAUUUUGAAGAUUGGUCUCAAUAUGCACACCGGAGCAGCAGUAUUCGUAGUGUGCCGCUGAUGAACCUGAAUUCGACUGCGUCACUCGGCUUCUUCCGAAUGCUGAUAAACCUACAAUAUGAUAUUAAACAUCAAGACGGAGGUAUCAUCUCUAAACGAAUUCUUCCACUGGAUGGAAGGAAAACGCUGCGAAGACGAAUGGUCAUCGAGACACUAAAAAGGUAUCAGUUGGACCGGUUUUCUCCAAUGGUCAAAUCGUUUGCCAACGGCUUCCAGCUGGCCGAAGGAAAAGUGAUCCACGACUUUCAAAUAUUUUUCGGUCCGACGACUGAUCCAGUUGUUGCUGGACUAGAGAGCAACGCGGUCUAGUUGACCCGAUUGGUGCAACGACCAGUGACACAAUAUCCGCAACCCCAGAAUAUUGCUGCUGAGAUCUAUUUGGCCUGACAAGGAUGAGCGAUCAGCAUACUACAUAAUAACGUCUCGUUUGUUCUCGGGAAGUGUAUCAUUAUUUAAAAAAAAAAAUAAAAACAGAUUGCAUUAUUUAUUUUAUUUUUUUGAUAAAAAAGAAAACAUCUGAAGUAUAAGAAAAUAAGAAGAAGAGUACCAAAAUAGAGAGCACGACGGCGUCCGAUUCUCCAUAGCUUGACAUCGGAGCUACGUAGCUCUUAUACCGCCUGACGAAUUUGACAACUUCGAAGCCCAACAGUCCGAUUUCGAUGGUGCAAAA